rnacentral:rRNA from 1 species
AUUGAACGCUGGCGGCAUGCUUUACACAUGCAAGUCGAACGGUAACAGGCCGCAAGGUGCUGACGAGUGGCGAACGGGGGAGUAAUGCAUCGGAACGUGCCCAGUCGUGGGGGAUAACGCAGCGAAAGCUGCGCUAAUACCGCAUACGAUUGAUGGAUGCAAGCGGGGGACCGUAAGGCCUCGCGCGAUUGGAGCGGCCGAUGUCCGAUUAGGUUGUUGGUGGGGUAAAGGCUCACCAAGCCGACGAUCUGUAGCUGGUCUGAGAGGACGACCAGCCACACUGGGACUGAGACACGGCCCAGACUCCUACGGGAGGCAGCAGUGGGGAAUUUUGGACAAUGGGCGCAAGCCUGAUCCAGCAAUGCCGCGUGCAGGAAGAAGGCCUUCGGGUUGUAAACUGCUUUUGUACGGAACGAAAAGGCUCUGGUUAAUACCUGGGGCUCAUGACGGUACCGUAAGAAUAAGCACCGGCUAACUACGUGCCAGCCGCCGCCGUAAGAC